rnacentral:rRNA from 1 species
AACGCGAAGAACCUUACCAGGCCUUGACAUGGGUAGUAUGAAUUCCAUAAAGGGAAUUCUUCAGUUUGGCUGGCUACCACACAGGUGCUGCAUGGCUGUCGUCAGCUCGUGUCGUGAGAUGUUGGGUUAAGUCCCGCAACGAGCGCAACCCUCAUCCUUAGUUGCCAACACGUUAUGGUGGGAACUCUAAGGAAACUGCCGGUGAUAAGCCGGAGGAAGGUGGGGAUGACGUCAAGUCUUCAUGGCCCUUACGGCCUGGGCUACACACGUGCUACAAUGGCGGUGACAAUGGGAAGCUAACCCGCAAGGGCAUGCUAAUCUCAAAAAACCGUCUCAGUUCGGAUUGCACUCUGCAACUCGAGUGCAUGAAGCUGGAAUCGCUAGUAAUCGUAGAUCAGCAUGCUACGGUGAAUACGUUCCCGGGCCUUGUACACACCGCUCGCGA